AAUUAACUAUAAUUAUUGUAUAGUAAUAAAACAUUAAGUAUAAUGUGGGUCGUUCUAGAUCAUUGGACUUACCGUUUUAGGGAACAUGCUGCCAGAUGAAUAGGGCUAGAGAAAAAAAGAUAAACAAAACUGUCAAUAGCCAUAUUUUGCAUGAAUACAUUAAAUACAUUAUAAGCAUGCCUUAAAUAACAAAUAGUGAUUUUUGCGUGUCUGGGGAAUGAGAUAUUCUUAUCCGUGUUUUAUCUCCUGCCCUUGCUGCUCUGCACUGGCAGAAGGCGUUGCAUUAUUUCAUUUGGGGUCGAGUUUCUAUGUGAUAUGAGCAGGCUUCGGGCUGAGAGUGAGCUGUGUUCAUCUUCCUUUUUUUCAUUUGAUCUGCUGCACACCAUCCUUUUUGGAGACUGCUGUGCUGCACCUAUCUAAACCACCAUUCCCUAUUUUAUGGACGGAAAGCUGCAAGUUUACAAUCUUCUCUUGUAAUAAGGCCCAAGUCCCCUGGACCCUCAUGGACCCAGCAGGCAGAAGUCUGGAUCUUCAGACUGGGUUUUACCCAGUGAAAUGUCAUUGUUGGAGACCACUAUGUGCUUCUCACCUCACUGAGCGAUUAUUCUUCAUUCGUCUUGGACCUACUGCUACUGCUUGUGAAGGAAAGCUGGUUCCUGGUUAGAUCACCAUGGAGUCCUUAAACAUUCGCCUGCAGUGUGAAAGCACUUUUCUAGAUGGUUCAGAUAUUUGGACCAAUUACAGGAAGCAGAGGCAGAAAACAAACCAGAAGAAGAAAGGAUUGGUGCUGUACUGAAAUCUGACUCCCCUCGGCGUGCAGGCGCGUCACGCAACAUUAUAGGACAAAAGCACUUACACUGGGAUAUAAUUUAUUAAUUGUAACAAUAUACUAAGUCUUACUUAUACACAGAAAUAAAAUAAAUCUAAUAAGAAUUUGUUACACUCAUUCUGCUGCGGCAGAUUUAUCACAUCACAGCAACUCGCCAAACACCUAUCAUUCUAUAAACCAAUUAAUAUAGAGUAUAGAGAGACGCAGCCCACGUAGCUGAUGAUGACAUGACAUAGUAAAGUUCUUUUGUCCGCUUACUAAACUGCAGUGUGAAAUUAAACGUAACCGGACCAAAAGGUACAGUGUAGCAAACACAUGAACGUUGGUUCAGACCAUGGUCCGGACUUUCAGGUAUGAAAGCACCCUUAGUGUCAUUCAAUCAAAGGACAGCUACUAAUCAUAUAUAAUCUUGGUCCUUCAUAAUAGAAAUGUACUGUUGAGAGUUACAAGUGUCUGUGUUGCUUUUAAGGUGAGGAAAGUUCAGCCAGUAGUGGUACUGUGGUAAGGAACUGUCCACUGAUCAAGGAUUAUAAAAUGACUAACACAAUCUGUGUUUUUAAAAAGAUAAGUUUGAUUCUCUAAAUGUACAGCUGAAAUGCACUGAUUGUCUUUGUAAAUAUAAUAACAAAGCAGUAUGUCUCAUGUUGAAUGUUAUAAUGACAAUAAAAACUAUCACCCAAUAAA